rnacentral:rRNA from 1 species
AUUGAACGCUGGCGGCAGGCCUAACACAUGCAAGUCGAACGAGUGGCGGAAGGGUGAGUAACGCAUCGGAACGUACCGAGUAAUGGGGGAUAACUGUCCGAAAGGACAGCUAAUACCGCAUAGUAGUAGAGCGGCCGAUGUCUGAUUAGCUGGUUGGCGGGGGAAAGGCCCACCAAGGAGACGAUCAGUAGCGGGUCUGAGGGGAUGAUCCGCCACACGGGGACUGAGACACUGCCCAGACUCCUACGGGAGGCAGCAGUGGGGAAUUUUGGACAAUGGUCGCAAGCCUGCUCCAGCCAUGCCGCGUGUCUGAAGAAGGCCUUCGGGUUGUAAAGGACUUUUGUCAGGGAAGCGGUACCUGAAGAAUAAGCACCGGCUAACUACGUGCCAGCCGCCGCGGUAAUAC